AAUGAGAAAUAAGGAAAAAAGAGUGGGACGUUUACUAAAUUAGAUACGUCAUUAUAUUCCCUUGUCCCUCGUGCCACGUGUUGGCUCGAAACGAAGCGGAGAAGCCAAGGAGGGGAUUCCUCUCGCUCUCGCGAAACCACUCCGCCUCUCUCUCUCUCUCUCUCUCUCUCUCUCUCUCUCUCUCUCUUUCUCUCUCUCUCUCUCUCUCGUGAUCUCCUCUCCACGUUCUCUCCUUGGCUCUGCGCCGCGUUAUCCCUCAUCCUCUCCAUGAAUUCCUCCAAAGCUUGCUUCUUCCACUCUCUUCUUCGACCAAUCUCGAUUCCCCAAUCCUCCUAUGGCGUCUUCUCAAAGCGUAAGCUUCUCUACCUCUGAUUACAUCCAAAUCAAAGCAAUCACUUAUCAAGACCAGUCUGUUGCUGAUAAAUUAAAAAUCAAAGCAAUCACUUAUCUGUCAAUUGAUUCUGUUUUGUUGCUUUUGUUUAAUUUCUUGUGGGUUUCUUAAAUAUGACAAACUAUCGAAGAUGAUGAUGAUGUUGUUGAGUCAACUGCUUCUACUUUUGAUCGAGUAUCCUCUCUGCUUCUUCUUCUUGUUCUUUAUCCCACUAUUACAAUACAUGUAUGCGUGUAAUUGAUUAUAAUGCUUGAAAGAGUUGGAAAAUGUAUUGAAAAGCUUUGCGUAUUUGUGGGAGAUUUGAUCCACGAAGGGAGUGUACGCUUAGGAUGUAUUCUUACAGUCGGGAAGAAAGGAAACAGUGUUGGAUUUGGCUAAGUUUGUGGAUAAGGGUGUGCAAGUUAAGCUUACUGGUAGUAGACAAGGUGUAAAGAAAGAACAGAGCAUUUUUUUAAUAUGAUUCUUGCUUUGAGUUUUGAUGCUUGCUUGUUUCAUCAUGUCACUGGAACUCUUAAAGGCUACAAUCAGUUGUUGAACCUUGUUCUAGAUGCCGCGGUGGAGUGUGUUCAAGUAGCUUCAUCAACUCCAUUUUUCCUUGGUCUCCACCUAGAAGAGCACCAAACCCCUUAGCUCAAGAUGUGCGAUUUGGAGAUGAAAAACUCAACCCUAUCUACCCUCGCUCUCACCAUUCCUCUCAUCUCCAUCUCGUGUCAAAGGAAUCUCCAUCCCCUUGUAAUUUUUUUUUAAAAGUUUGUAAUCUAUCUU